rnacentral:misc_RNA from 1 species
UUGAGGGUUGUUAUGGACACAUCGUAAGUGCCUCCCAUCCCUCAUUUUGAUCACGAAACCAUCUGCUCCGCUCUUCACCUCAACAGCUUCAACUAUGCUAGAGUUUACAUAAUCUUCAUCAUUUUCAUUGAAGUUCUCGGCUGUGCUCCCAUUACCAUUCGAGGAAGAACUCAAACAACACUGUACUGUAUAGCGCCCUUGUGCAUUUAGUUGAGGAGAAAAUAAACUCACUUUAGUUUUGUAACCAUCCAUCUCCUUGAAUCUCCAUAACCCAUUUCUAACAAGCCUAGCAUUCACCAAAGGAAUAUUCACUGGCAGAGUAUAAAUUCCUGCUUGUUUUGCACGCACAGCAGGGCAAAUAACCGGUCCUUGCAAUGACGCCAUCUCACCUCCUCACAAGUCCUUGCACAAAGAUGAACCGUCAAAACUCCAACAACAACCACUGAUCACAGCAAGUAACAGGCAAAAAACCCAAAUGAUUCCAGUGCGCGAUUGAUGUGAAAUAGAGAAUUAAGCAACGAAAGGGCUGGAGAGUAAGCACUUAAGAUCGUGAGAGACUUGAAGAAGCCGACAAGAAAGGAUCAGA